CUGCAAUAGGCAUAAAUGUCGCUAGUAGCAUUUCACAAAUGCAUUUUAAAGUACCCACUACAAUAGAUGAGAUACCAAGUACAAAUCCUAUUGAAUAACAACCAAAACUGAAAAUUCUCGCUAGAACAAGCUGGCAGACACAAAUGAAGCCGAAUAAAAAAUCCAUAAAUACCACACAAUUUCAUUUAAUACAACUUGACACGGAUCAUAAGGCACAGUAACUUGACAGUCGCUGCAACAGGAAGACGACAUGACUGACUUUCAGACACCCAUACUGAGCAAUGUUGAACGACAACUCUGGACCUUCUCAACCCUCAAAACAUGCCUAGUACUCACUG
rnacentral:lncRNA from 1 species